CUCGAUAAUCCACGAAAAUCUUACCCUCUCUAGAUCAACCAGCUUGUGUACUGCCGUCGUAAGCACACCUCUAAAAGUACGAGUAUGCAACUAUGUCAAACUCAUAUACGUCAGGUCAAAGUGCAGCUAAUGAAAGGGGCGACGAUGGGUUACACCCUAAAUAAAGAUACGAAAUAUGGCACCAAAAGCCACAUGAAGGUGGACUUGGACGUAACAAAAAUACAAAAUUAAAAUGAAAACGAAUCUGAGACAUGCACACAUCGCCCGUCACUCUUGCCCAAAGGUGAGAUAAGUCGUAACAAAGUAGGUGUAACGGAAGUUGCACCUGUCGAAGUAUAGCAUAUAUAAUGCUUUUUACUUACACUAAAAAUAAAACAUGUUGUUUGCUUCGCUUAUUUAAAUUAAUCAUCUAACAUCAUAUUAAAUAAAACAUUUAAACAUUUAUUCCUACUAACUUACUAAAUCAAAGUACUAAAAAGGAAACAACAAUCCUAAAGUAGUGAUAGCUCACGUACCUUGUGCAUUAUGGUUUUACAAGCUAUAAAUUUAUAAUAUCCUCCCGAAUUCUACACGAGCUGUCUACAUAUAGCUUAGAGCCCACUACUAGUUGUAGCAACAACUUUAGAAAAUAUGUUAACAGAGGCUACAUACCACCCGCGUUAGAAAAUUGCUGGUUUUCAGUAAAAUUUAUUAAUUAAAACAUGUAGUAACAACUACAAUGUAAGACUUCAGAGGAUAAGCCCUGUAGUCUAAAGCUAAUAAACACACCACUAAAUAAUUAGGCCUAAAAACAGCCACCUACAUUACCUUACCGUAACACUUAUAAAAUAUUUGAAACUAUAUGCACCCAAAAACUGAAAUUUAAAACAAACUUCAAAUAUUAAAAUAUUAUGUAAAAAUAAGUAUUAAGCACAAAUAAUUACUAUACUAAACCUUUUUCUCAAUAAAUUAAACAAAAACUUAUAAAGGAACUCAGCAAAUUCUUAUUUCGACUGUUUAACAAAAACAUUGCUUCCG
rnacentral:misc_RNA from 1 species